rnacentral:rRNA from 1 species
GACGAACGCUGGCGGCGUGCCUAAUACAUGCAAGUAGAACGCUGACGGCGUAGCUUGCUUCUCCUGAUUAGUUGCGAACGGGUGAGUAACGCGUAGAUACCCUGCCUGGUAGCGGGUGACAACUAUUGGACACGAUAGCUAAUACCGCAUAACAGUAUAUGUUGCAUGACAUUUGCUUAAAAGGUGCAAUUGCUUCACUACCAGAUGGACCUGCGUCGUAUUAUCUAGUUGUUGAGGUAACGGCUCACCACGACGACGAUACAUAGCCGACCUGGGAGGGGGAUCGGCCACACCGAGAUUGGAACAGGGCCCAGACCCAAACGGGAGGCAGCAGUAGGGGAUCUUAGGAAAUGGAAGGAAGUCUGACCGAGAAACGCCGAGUGAGUGAAGAAGGGUUUCGGAUCGUAAAGCGCUGUUGUAAGAGAAGAACGAGUGUGGGAGUGGAAAGUUCACACUGUGACGGUAUCUUACCAGAAAGGGACGGCUAACUACGUG